GAAUGUGGAGCCGUAGCGAAAGCGAGUCUGAAUAGGGCGUUGAGUAUUUGGUCGUAGACCCGAAACCAGGUGAUCUACCCUUGGUCAGGUUGAAGUUCAGGUAACACUGAAUGGAGGACCGAACCGACUUACGUUGAAAAGUGAGCGGAUGAACUGAGGGUAGCGGAGAAAUUCCAAUCGAACUUGGAGAUAGCUGGUUCUCUCCGAAAUAGCUUUAGGGCUAGCCUCAAGUGAUGAUUAUUGGAGGUAGAGCACUGUUUGGACGAGGGGCCCCUCUCGGGUUACCGAAUUCAGACAAACUCCGAAUGCCAAUCAAUUUAACUUGGGAGUCAGAACAUGGGUGAUAAGGUCCGUGUUCGAAAGGGAAACAGCCCAGACCACCAGCUAAGGUCCCAAAAUAUAUGUUAAGUGGAAAAGGAUGUGGCGUUGCCCAGACAACUAGGAUGUUGGCUUAGAAGCAGCCAUCAUUUAAAGAGUGCGUAAUAGCUCACUAGUCGAGUGACACUGCGCCGAAAAUGUACCGGGGCUAAACAUAUUACCGAAGCUGUGGAUUGUCCUUCGGACAAUGGUAGGAGAGCGUUCUAAGGGCGUUGAAGCAUGAUCGCAAGGACAUGUGGAGCGCUUAGAAGUGAGAAUGCCGGUGUGAGUAGCGAAAGACGGGUGAGAAUCCCGUCCACCGAUUGACUAAGGUUUCCAGAGGAAGGCUCGUCCGCUCUGGGUUAGUCGGGUCCUAAGCUGAGGCCGACAGGCGUAGGCGAUGGAUAACAGGUUGAUAUUCCUGUACCACCUAGUAUCGUUUUAAUCGAUGGGGGGACGCAGUAGGAUAGGCGAAGCGUGCUGUUGGAGUGCACGUCCAAG
rnacentral:rRNA from 1 species